UACGAGUGCCCCAAGCGUUAUCCGGAAUUAUUGGGCGUAAAGGGUGAGUAGGUGGUUAUAUUAGUCUUGUGUUAAAGCCUUCGGCUCAACCGAAGAUCUGCAUAGGAAACGGUAUAACUAGAGUAUGUGAGAGGUGUGUAGAACUCAUGGAGUAGGGGUGAAAUCCGUUGAUAUCAUGGGGAAUACCAAAGCGUAGGCAGCACACUGGCACAUUACUGACACUGAAUCACGAAAGCGUGGGUAGCGAAUGGG
rnacentral:rRNA from 1 species